rnacentral:rRNA from 1 species
AAAGCGUGCGCAGGCGGCUUUGCAAGACAGAUGUGAAAUCCCCGGGCUCAACCUGGGAACUGCAUUUGUGACUGCAAGGCUAGAGUACGGCAGAGGGGGGUAGAAUUCCACGUGUAGCAGUGAAAUGCGUAGAUAUGUGGAGGAACACCGAUGGCGAAGGCAGCCCCCUGGGUCAAAACUGACGCUCAUGCACGAAAGCGUGGGGAGCAAACAGGAUUAGAUACCCUUGU